rnacentral:rRNA from 1 species
UACAGAGGAUGCAAGCGUUAUCCGGAAUGAUUGGGCGUAAAGCGUCUGUAGGUGGCUUUUUAAGUCCGCCGUCAAAUCCCAGGGCUCAACUCUGGACAGGCGGUGGAAACUACCAAGCUGGAGUACGGUAGGGGCAGAGGGAAUUUCCGGUGGAGCGGUGAAAUGCGCAGAUAUUAGGAAGAACACCGGUGGCGAAGGCGGCUCUCUGGAACGGUACUGACGCUGAGACGCGAAAGCGUGGGGAGCGAACAGG